UUGAGUUUCUGUUCCUCCGGCUGUGUUAAUUCAGUGCUUGUACCGAUUGUAAGCUUAUAAAGAACUGAGAAAGGACUCUAUUUGUGAUAUUUUCAUAAUGUCGAACAAAGUUUGCUGUGUUCCUGGAUGUUCCAAUAACAUAGAAUCACUGGAUAUUUUACAUAAAUUUCCAAACCCUUCUAAAGACAAGAAACGUUUUAAUACUUGGCUCUAUUCUGUUGGUGGUGAAAUUCUGAGCCUCAGCAAUGACCAUAUCUUCAAAUAUCGACGAAUAUGUCACAGACACUUUGAGGAGAAAUACUGGUGCCGAAAUAAUUUACUCAGCAACAUAGCGGUGCCAACUAAAAACUUAAUAGGAUUGUCAUUGCCAAAAUCCACCCUUAUGGAGAGAAGACCUUUAAGAUCAAUUCAAAAUUUGUCAGAACCAUCUACAUCUAAAGAACUUACAUUUCCUCUUCAACUGGAAUCUGUUGACCCACAACCUCGACCCCAAAUUGUCAAGAAAGAUAUUAAAA